UACCAGCACCCCGAGUGGUCGGGACGUUUAUUGGGCCUAAAGCAUCCGUAGCCGGUUCUACAAGUCUUCCGUUAAAUCCAGCUGCUUAACAGAUGGGCUGCGGAAGAUACUAUGGAGCUAGGAGGCGGGAGAGGCAAGCGGUACUCGAUGGGUAGGGGUAAAAUCCGUUGAUCCAUUGAAGACCACCAGUGGCGAAGGCGGCUCCACUGGCCCGG
rnacentral:rRNA from 1 species